UGGGGAAUCUUGCGCAAUGGGCGAAAGCCUGACGCAGCAACGCCGCGUGCGGGAUGAAGGCCUUCGGGUUGUAAACCGCUUUCAGCAGGGACGAAAACAGACGGUACCUGCAGAAGAAGCCCCGGCCAACUACGUGCCAGCAGCCGCGGUAACACGUAGGGGGCGAGCGUUGUCCGGAUUUAUUGGGCGUAAAGAGCUCGUAGGCGGCUUAGUAAGUCAGGUGUGAAACCUCCAGGCUCAACCUGGAGACGCCACCUGAUACUGCUGUGGCUAGAGUCCGGUAGGGGAGCAGGGAACUCCUGGUGUAGCGGUGAAAUGCGCAGAUAUCAGGAAGAACACCAGCGGCGAAGGCGCUGCUCUGGGCCGGAACUGACGCUGAGGAGCGAAAGCGUGGGGAGCAAACAGGAUUAGAUACCCUGGUAGUCCACGCCGUAAACGUUGGGCACUAGGUGUGGGUCUCAACCAACGAGAUCCGUGCCGUAGCUAACGCAUUAAGUGCCCCGCCUGGGGAGUACGGCCGCAAGGCUA
rnacentral:rRNA from 1 species